AUUGAACGCUGGCGGCAUGCCUUACACAUGCAAGUCGAACGGCAGCACGGGUGCUUGCACCUGGUGGCGAGUGGCGAACGGGUGAGUAAUACAUCGGAACAUGUCCUGUAGUGGGGGAUAGCCCGGCGAAAGCCGGAUUAAUACCGCAUACGAUCUACGUGUGAAAGCGGGGGACCUUCGGGCCUCGCGCUAUAGGGUUGGCCGAUGGCUGAUUAGCUAGUUGGUGGGGUAAAGGCCUACCAAGGCGACGAUCAGUAGCUGGUCUGAGAGGACGACCAGCCACACUGGGACUGAGACACGGCCCAGACUCCUACGGGAGGCAGCAGUGGGGAAUUUUGGACAAUGGGCGAAAGCCUGAUCCAGCAAUGCCGCGUGUGUGAAGAAGGCCUUCGGGUUGUAAAGCACUUUUGUCCGGAAAGAAAUCCUUGGCCCUAAUACGGUCGGGGGAUGACGGUACCGGAAGAAUAAGCACCGGCUAACUACGUG
rnacentral:rRNA from 1 species